rnacentral:tRNA from 1 species
GGCCAGAAUGGCAUAGUGGUUUGAGUGUUGGACUAUGACACUGGAGACCAGAGUUUGAUUCUCUGCUUGGCCA